CCUACGGGAGGCAGCAGUAGGGAAUAUUGCGCAAUGGGGGAAACCCUGAAGCAGCAACGCCGCGUGGAGGAUGAAGGUCUUCGGAUUGUAAACCUCUUUUGGAAGAGAAGAUAAUGACGGUAUCUAACGAAUAAGCACCGGCUAACUCCGUGCCAGCAGCCGCGGUAAUACGGAGGGUGCAAGCGUUAUUCGGAAUUACUGGGCGUAAAGAGCGCGUAGGCGGGAUAGCAAGUCAGAUGUGAAAUCCUAUGGCUUAACCCUAGAACUGCAUUUGAAACUGUUAAUCUAGAGUAUGGGAGAGGUUGGUGGAAUUCUUGGUGUAGAGGUGAAAUCCGUAGAUAUCGGGAGGAAUACUGAUGGCGAAGGCGGCCUGCUGGAACAUAACUGACGCUGAGGCGCGAAAGCGUGGGGAUCAAACAGGAUUAGAUACCCCAGUAGUC
rnacentral:rRNA from 1 species